AGCUGCAGCUGGAGGUUUCGAUGGUUAUGGUGGUCGUGAUGGUUUUGGUGGUGUUGGUGGUGCAGCAGCCGCAUCUGCUGCAGCCAGUGCUAGUGGAUUAGAUGGGUUUGCAUCAGCAUCAGCUGCUGCAACCGCGAGCGGAAUCGGUGGUUUGGGUGGUGCUAGUGCUUCAGCUGCCGCAAGCGCUGGUGGGCGAGGUGGUCUUGGCGGUCUUGACGGCCCUGGUGGGUUCGGCGGUCCUGGUGGACUUG